rnacentral:rRNA from 1 species
CUGACGGUACUUGAUGAAUAAGCCACGGCUAAUUCCGUGCCAGCAGCCGCGGUAAUACGGGAGUGGCAAGCGUUAUCCGGAAUUAUUGGGCGUAAAGCGUCCGCAGGCGGCCCAACAAGUCUGCUGUUAAAAAGUGGAGCUUAACUCCAUCAUGGCAGUGGAAACUGUUGGGCUCGAGUGUGGUAGGGGCAGAGGGAAUUCCCGGUGUAGCGGUGAAAUGCGUAGAUAUCGGGAAGAACACCAGUGGCGAAGGCGCUCUGCUGGGCCAUCACUGACGCUCAUGGACGAAAGCCAGGGGAGCGAAAGGGAUUAGAUACCCCUGUAGUCCUGGCCGUAAACGAUGAACACUAGGUGUCGGGGGAAUCGACCCCUCCGGUGUCGUAGCCAACGCGUUAAGUGUUCCGCCUGGGGAGUACGCACGCAAGUGUGAAACUCAAAGGAAUUGACGGGGGCCCGCACAAGCGGUGGAGUAUGUGGUUUAAUUCGAUGCAACGCGAAGAACCUUACCAGGGUUUGACAUCCUGCGAAUCUCUUGGAAACUUGAGAGUGCCUUCGGGAGCGCAGUGACAGGUGGUGCAUGGCUGUCGUCAGCUCGUGUCGUGAGAUGUUGGGUUAAGUCCCGCAACGAGCGCAACCCACGUCUUUAGUUGCCAGCAUUUAGUUGGGCACUCUAGAGAGACCGCCGGUGAUAAACCGGAGGAAGGUGUGGAUGACGUCAAGUCAUCAUGCCCCUUACAUCCUGGGCUGCACACGUACUACAAUGCUACGGACAAAGGGCAGCAAGUUCGCGAGGACAAGCAAAUCCCAUAAACCGUGGCUCAGUUCAGAUCGUAGGCUGCAACUCGCCUACGUGAAGGAGGAAUCGCUAGUAAUCGCAGGUCAGCAUACUGCGGUGAAUACGUUCCCGGGCCUUGUACACACCGCCCGUCACACCAUGGAAGUUGGCCACGCCCGAAGCCGUUACUCCAACCCUUGUGGAGGAGGACGUCGAAGGUGGGGCUGAUGACUGGGGUG